ACAGCGACGACUCCUACGACUUAGAGACCUGUUUACACAAGGAGGGUACCCUCCCUCAACCAACAGGUGGGAAAUUCGGUGAAACACAGUGGAAUCAUUCCUUCCAGCCUGGGCUCGCUUCCUUCGGGAAGCUAGGCUCAGGUCUUUCCGUGAGGACAGCCUAGCCGGGGAACCGGUCUGCCUGGACGUUGUUAUCAGAAAUUCACACGGGUAACCGUGAUGGGAAAGCAACGAGUGUUUUAUUUGACGGGCUUCUGUUUACACAGUGGUCCAGUCUGUUGAGUGCAAUCGUAGGACAUGCCCUAGGGCUUGAACCCGAUACCGAUUACCGUCCUUGU
rnacentral:RNase_P_RNA from 2 species